AUAAAAGUGCCUCUGUCCAGCGUGCAGAUGAGAGGAAGCUGGCAAGUGGGAAAACAUCCCGUGAACUCAUUUUGACAUGAGGAAGUCUUUCCUGUGAACCCCAACAGGUGACACUGUGUUGAGAUAUUUGAUCACCAUCUUGGAAAUGAUCGCUUUCCAAUGUUGGCUAGCCUUAAACACAAUGCGUGUUAACAUUAAUCAGACCAUGGUGUUAUCAAAACUUUUGUAACUGUGCAAUAACUUUCCUGUUUACCCUAUAGAUCCCAGGGCCGAAUGAAAUUAGACCACCUUCAAUCAUGUUCUAACUCUAAGGACCCUUUUCUACACAGAGUUUCAAAUAUAGAAACAGUACUUUGGAAUAAAAUGAAUCUGAAUUCUCCCUCUAAUUACAUCAGGCCUAAUUGGUUUCUCUACUUACUGAUGGGGUUUUAUCCAUAUUUCUCCCACAGUCUGCCUUCUCUCUCUCUCUCUUUUUUUUUUUUUUUCUUUCAGACCCAGAAUUUGGUGUCAGGCUGAUGCAGUAAUGCACAGUAUUAAUCCAUGAUAGCUUUUUGACAGCUUAUGAUUAAUUAAUGUCUAAAAGCUUCAAAGUUAAAUGAGAUGAUGGAAGCCACUCUAAGAAAUGAUAUCUAAUUGAUUAAUAAUGUACUCUGAGGGUGUUUGUUGUUUUAUUGUAUUCAGGACCGAGCAAGUAGGACCGAGAGCAGCUCAGCCAAGGAUGAAUAAUAACCUCUCAGCUUUCAGUACAAAGAUAAUCAGGAAAACUUAGAAAGUUUCUUAAUGAGUUUAAAUCUUCCUCUUGCCUGUGCUGUAAAAAGGGAUGUUUUUGUUUCAAGAGAAAAAAAAAUGUUGCUAUGAAAAUAGAAAAGAAUGUGUAUUUUACAUGUGAUGUGAGACACAGUUCUGACAGUGUUAUAUCCACCUAUCCCCUGCGCUAAAUUAUAAGUAUUGCUAUAUAGUCAACUGCACCUGUGAGAUGGAUGAUGGCCAACUAAUUCUUUUCAUUGGCCAAAAUUUAAAAGGCUUUAUGUCUGCCAAAGGUUUCUCAUAAGUUGUUUGGUUUUUGUUGUUGUUGUUGUUGUUGAUGUUGGUUUUUUGGGGGGUGGGGGUGGUUUUGUUUGUUUGUUUGUUUUGUUUUGUUCUUAUGACAGUUUGUCACAGGUUUAAGGUUUCUGAAAAUGCUUGAGGGAAAAAUAUCUAGGUAGAUGCCUAGACACUGGGCAAGGUAUUUGUACUUCAAACAUGACACGUGCAUGGGAGUCUGAGUUUAGUGUAUCACGGCUACACAUCCCACAUUCCUGGGAAGGUUGGUCGAGUCAGCCCCAUGGCUACUGAAAUGCUUAUUAAAUUAUCCGCACUCACUUCCUCCCUCUGCUGCAUUCAGAGCUACAGAGGAGCCCACUAGCCUUCUCUGACUGAAAAACCCCGUGUAGGGACACACGCCAUUUCAGUCUCCUUUUAAUAUUACUCCUAUCAGAAGGACAGAGCAAAGUUUUCACUCAUUAAACUUAUUUAAGUUUAAUGAUUGGUCUUGGUGUUGUUCAAGACUGUUGGUGUUGGUGACCGGUAGUUGGAGUUGUAACUCUCAUCAGUCCUGUCCCAGGAAUACUAUGAUCUAUAAUUCUUAAAAAUUAACCCAAUUACCAGCCCCUCUGCCAGUUCUGCAGAUUGCUAGUUGUGUAUUCAGGAAACGAUUAACCUGCCUGGUAACUCAGUGUGCUGUUUUAGGGCUUCUCAUUUCGUGUUUGCUCCACUUCUUAAAGGAGACUUUUUGCUAUGAUCUUUGAACCUUCAGGAAAAGAAAAACAUCAGAUCAUUUAACUUUGUUAUUAUUAAUAGUUUAGAGAUGGAAAUGAUAAGACAGUAUGAUAGUUAAUAUUUAAAAAGCAUUUGCUAUCUGACAAAACUUCCCUAAAGUGUUUAUGUAUAUGUAUUAUAUAGAUAUCAAAUUGAGAACACAUUCUUAUAUACUAUGCCUUAAGUGAAUAUACAUACAGUAUAUAUUUUAAGUACAUAUUCAUAUAUGUGUAUAUAUUCACUUAAACUUACAAUAACCCUGAUUUUAUAGAUGAAGGCAAUAAAACUAAAGCCCAAAUAGAUUCAAUAACUACCCAAGAUACAUAGCUUUUGAGCAUAUAUUUGAAUUAAUGGAUGCUGGACUCCUCAGUUUGUUUUUAACAGCAGCUUGAUUGUGCCUCGGUCUAAUGGCCUCAGUGAUUUAGAUCUUGUCUGGACUGCACUUCCCUUGACUGUUAGAGAUGCACAGACAACUGUAUAGACAGCAGAUGUUGUUGUUGCAAAAGAUUCAUGUUGCUCCUUUAGUAUAAGGUACAUAACAAAUUAAUUAAUAUCAGGAUAAAUAACUGACAAUCAGCCUUCUUUUACAUUUAAAUAUAAUGCCUUUAUAUUUAAUCAGUGCUCUGAAAGGAAGCUCAUCCUAUAAGCUAAAAUUAUCCACAACAUAUAAAUGUAAAACUAAUAUGCUAAGAAGCAAAGUAGGUCAUAUCACAAGGUAUGAAUACACAUAAAAUUAAUCACUGUUAUACAUUAAAUAUUAUACUUAAAGCAGAUAUCAUUGUAAGAACUAAACACACUCAAACUGAGAACAGUGUUAGCCAACUGUGGUAGCACACCACCCUAAUCCUCGUACUGAAGCUACUGCGGCAGGAGGAUUGCAGGUUUGAGGUCACUGUAGGGCACAUAAGGAUAUCCUGCCUUUUAAAAGGACCCAUUUUUAAAAAGACAUUUAUUCAGAGUUCUGCUGAGAAAAUACACUCUUAAUGGGAAAACAUAAAAGGAACAAGUGUGCUUAAUAUAUACAAUGUUGAGCUUUCUUUUUAGAAGUACUUGACAUUUUAAAUCAAUUCUAUUAAUUUCUGUGAAUCUAAAGAGGAAUAUAAGCUCUUGAAUUUUGAUGUUAACAAUAGAUACAGAAGUCCGGAUAUCAAAGAGAAACCCCAAUAAAGUUGCUAAACACAUUGCAUUACUUC
rnacentral:lncRNA from 1 species